UUUUAAUCAAUGGGUCGCAGGUUCGAGCCGAGCAGAGCGAGACAACAACGCGCCAGCGUUGACCCGAAGGGCGAGUCCAGAGGACGAGUCAUCCCGCACGACCCACCA
rnacentral:sRNA from 1 species